rnacentral:rRNA from 1 species
UUGCUAGAGAUGACGAGCGGCGGACGGGUGAGUAAUGCUUGGGAACAUGCCUUGAGGUGGGGGACAACCAUUGGAAACGAUGGCUAAUACCGCAUAAUGUCUACGGACCAAAGGGGGCUUCGGCUCUCGCCUUUAGAUUGGCCCAAGUGGGAUUAGCUAGUUGGUGAGGUAAAGGCUCACCAAGGCGACGAUCCCUAGCUGGUUUGAGAGGAUGAUCAGCCACACUGGAACUGAGACACGGUCCAGACUCCUACGGGAGGCAGCAGUGGGGAAUAUUGCACAAUGGGCGCAAGCCUGAUGCAGCCAUGCCGCGUGUGUGAAGAAGGCCUUCGGGUUGUAAAGCACUUUCAGUCAGGAGGAAAGGUUAGUAGUUAAUACCUGCUAGCUGUGACGUUACUGACAGAAGAAGCACCGGCUAACUCCGUGCCAGCAGCCGCGGUAAUACGGAGGGUGCGAGCGUUAAUCGGAAUUACUGGGCGUAAAGCGUACGCAGGCGGUUUGUUAAGCGAGAUGUGAAAGCCCCGGGCUUAACCUGGGAACUGCAUUUCGAACUGGCAAACUAGAGUGUGAUAGAGGGUGGUAGAAUUUCAGGUGUAGCGGUGAAAUGCGUAGAGAUCUGAAGGAAUACCGAUGGCGAAGGCAG